rnacentral:rRNA from 1 species
UUGCCUACGGGGGGCAGCAGUGAGGAAUAUUGGUCAAUGGGCGCGAGCCUGAACCAGCCAAGUCGCGUGAGGGAUGACGGUCCUACGGAUUGUAAACCUCUUUUGCCGGGGAGCAAGCGUGCGUUCGUGAACGCACGUCGAGAGUACCCGGAGAAAAAGCAUCGGCUAACUCCGUGCCAGCAGCCGCGGUAAUACGGAGGAUGCGAGCGUUAUCCGGAUUUAUUGGGUUUAAAGGGUGCGUAGGCGGAAUAUCAAGUCAGCGGUAAAAAUUCGGGGCUCAACCCCGUCGUGCCGUUGAAACUGAU